GACGGAGGAUGCAAGUGUUAUCCGGAAUCACUGGGCGUAAAGCGUCUGUAGGUGGUUUAAUAAGUCAACUGUUAAAUCUUGAGGCUCAACCUCAAAAUCGCAGUCGAAACUAUUGGACUCGAGUAUAGUAGGGGUAAAGGGAAUUUCCAGUGGAGCGGUGAAAUGCGUAGAGAUUGGAAAGAACACCAAUGGCGAAAGCACUUUACUGGGCUAUUACUGACACUGAGAGACGAAAGCUAGGGUAGCAAAUGGG
rnacentral:rRNA from 1 species